CAUUACAGAGUUCCUGCCCUCACGGGUAGAAACCCCACCCUUGUGUAUAUUAUAUUGUUGCUUUAGCAGGUCGCCCUCUGGGGCGUCGGCCUCGGCUGACUGUGCCUGCUAGAGGACCCUAAACUUUGAAAUACAGUGUCGUCUGAGUACUAUUUAAUAGUUAAAACUUUCAACAACGGAUCUCUUGGUUCUGGCAUCGAUGAAGAACGCAGCGAAAUGCGAUAAGUAAUGUGAAUUGCAGAAUUCAGUGAAUCAUCGAAUCUUUGAACGCACAUUGCGCCCCUUGGUAUCCCGGGGGGCAUGCCUGUUCGAGCGUCAUUUAGACCAACUCCCGCUCCGGCGGGGUCUUGGGCUGCGCCUUUGGGCGGGCCUUAAAACCAGUGGCGGUGCCCUAAGGCUCUACGCGUAGUAAUUCUUCUCGCGAUAGGGUCCUUGCGGUGUCCUGCCAGCAACCCCCAACUCUCUAGGGUUGACCUCGGAU
rnacentral:rRNA from 1 species